rnacentral:rRNA from 1 species
UCGGAGAGACACAGGGAUUGCCUCAGUAACGGCGAGUGAAGCGGCAACAGCUCAAAUUUUAAAGCUGGCGUCUUCGGCGUCCGCAUUGUAAUUUGGAGAGGCAUCUUCGGUUUGGGCGCCAGCCUAUGUUCCUUGGAACAGGACGUCACAGAGGGUGAGAAUCCCGUGCUUGCUGGCUGUCCCAUUCCAUGUGAAGUGUCUUCGACGAGUCGAGUUGUUUGGGAAUGCAGCUCAAAAUGGGUGGUAAAUUUCAUCUAAAGCUAAAUAUUGGUGGGAGACCGAUAGCGCACAAGUAGAGUGAUCGAAAGAUGAAAAGCACUUUGAAAAUAGAGUUAAAAAGUACGUGAAAUUGUUGAAAGGGAAGCGCUUGAGACCAGACUCGGCUGGUGAUGAUCAGCUGUCCUUCUGGGCAGUGCACUUGUCGCCGGUCGGGCCAGCAUCGGUUGAGACGGCGGGAUAAAGAUCUCGGGAAUGUGGCUCCUUUCGGGGAGUGUUAUAGCCCGGGGUGCAAUGCCGCCAGCCUCGACCGAGGACCGCGCUUCGGCUAGGAUGCUGGCGUAAUGGUCUUCAGCGACCCGUCUUGAAACACGGACCAAGGAGUCUAACAUCUAUGCGAGUGUUUGGGUGUCAAACCCUUGCGCGAAAUGAAAGUGAACGGAGGUGGGAACCCGCAAGGGUGCACCAUCGACCGGUCCUGAUGUCUUCGGAUGGAUCUGAGUAGGAGCAUAGCUGUUGGGACCCGAAAGAUGGUGAACUAUGCCUGAAUAGGGUGAAGCCAGAGGAAACUCUGGUGGAGGCUCGCAGCGGUUCUGACGUGCAAAUCGAUCGUCAAAUUUGGGUAUAGGGGCGAAAGACUAAUCGAAACAUCUAGAAGCGGUCUCUAAA